rnacentral:rRNA from 1 species
UACGGAGGGGGCUAGCGUUGUUCGGAAUUACUGGGCGUAAAGGGCGCGUAGGCGGGUGGACAAGUCUCUCGUGAAAGCCCACGGCUCAACCGUGGAAUUGCGGGAGAUACUGUCUGUCUUGAGUGAGGGAGAGGAGGGUGGAAUUCCCAGUGUAGCGGUGAAAUGCGUAGAUAUUGGGAGGAACACCGGUGGCGAAGGCGGGUCUCUGGACCGGUACUGACGCUGAGGCGCGAAAGCUAGGGGAGCAAACGGG